rnacentral:rRNA from 1 species
AUUGAACGCUGGCGGCAGGCCUAACACAUGCAAGUCGAGCGGAGCGGCGGACGGGUGAGUAAUGCCUAGGUAUCUGCCUGUUAGUGUGGGAUAACGUCCGGUAACGGGCGCUAAUACCGCAUCCUAUCAGAUGAGCCUAGGUCGGAUUAGCUAGUUGGUGGGGUUAAGGCCUACCAAGGCGCUGAUCCGUAACUGGGCUGAAAGGAUGAUCAGUCACACUGGAACUGGGACACGGUCCAGACUCCUACGGGAGGCAGCAGUGGGGAAUAUUGGACAAUGGGCGAAAGCCUGAUGCAGCCAUGCCGCGUGUGUGAAGAAGGUCUUCGGAUUGUAAAGCACUUUAAGUUGGGAGGCGUUACCAACAGAAUAAGCACCGGCUAACUUCGUGCCAGCAGCCGCGGUAAUUC